UAUAGAAUUUUAUAUUAACUUUACCUAGCGGUUAAUGCUGGUCUUUUGUUAAUAUUUGGUUGGGAGGAUUAUUAAAUUUAACAAACUUUAUAUCAUUAUAAACUUUGAUUUAAGAAAAUAUAAUGACCUUCAAUUUGAAAUAGUUAGAGUAAAUUACCUUAGGGAUAACAGCGUAAUAUUUUUUUAUAGACCUUAUAGAAAAAAAUGGUUGCGACCUCGAUGUUGAAUUAAGAUAAAUUUUAAAUGCAGGAGUUUAAUAAUUAAGUCUGUU
rnacentral:rRNA from 1 species